rnacentral:lncRNA from 10 species
UGUCAAUGGGAGCCUGAAGAUGGCGGGGUCAUCUGCUGGAGCCUGGGGUUCUAUGGGGCUCUCUUGUGCUGUGGAGGGCACAAGUUCUGCAGGCCUUCCUUUCAGUAGUCAGGGCUGGCCUGAGCUGUGAGGUGGCUGUAGAUGCGGUAGAUGAGACAGUGCCUGGCACUUGGGAUACCUGAUAUUCAGCCUGUCUCCCACUGGUUCUGGUCUGCUAUCUUCAGGAACUAGGAGUGGGUGGGAGAAGCAGCAAUGUCUCCUAGUACUCAG